rnacentral:sRNA from 1 species
UCAGCUUCUUCAUCUGUGAGAUGGGUUGAAUGCGGGCGCGUUCCACGGAGAAGGGAACUGCCACAUGGUGGGUACCGGGUCAGGGCCCAUUCUCCUUCCCUUCAGGACCGUGUUUCUCCGCCUGGCCUCCCUGGUGGUCCUGCUCUUCUCUCUCUGGAAUCAGAUCACUUGUGGGGGCGACUCCGAGGCUGAGAACUGCAAAACCUGUGGCUACAAUUACAAAGAACUUCCGUGCUGGGAGACUGUCCUGGGCCAGGAAAUGUACAAACUUCUGCUCUUUGAUCUGCUGACUGUCUUGGCAGUCGCGCUGCUCAUCCAGUUUCCUAGAAAGCUCCUCUGUGGCCUCUGUCCUGGGGCGCUGGGUCGUCUGGCGGGGACCCAGGAGUUCCA